rnacentral:lncRNA from 1 species
CACGUGUGACAAUGAAGUUUCAUGGGGACGCAGCCCACUGGGUCACGUGACGUGUGUGCUGCUCUCACACUAACACACGGACAGGAUGACCUGACGGCAUGAAAAUGAUGACAACUAGCCCUUCACAGGAACCGUCUGCCGACCAGGACCACGUAGACAAGCGCUGCCCGGGUGAGGCUGUGCUUCCUGGGGACCCCGGGGACCAUGGAGCACGCUUGUGACCCCACAUCUAUUCACACCCAGGGGUAGGAGCACCAGCACACGCCCAGCGGGAACACUCAGGACCACAGAACGCGGCCUGUGUCCCCAGAGACCAGAGGGGGUCCCCAGGUGCACGGGGGGCACAGAGCGGGCCCCCCAGGAGGAUGGUUUGCCAAACCUCCAUGCAACAGAAACGAUGGAGCCCAGACGCACUCAGUCAGCAUGUGACGUCCUCGCUGUCUCGGGCACGUCCGUGUCAGCAUCCCGCUCGGCCGGGCCUUUCCUGUGGUCCAGGCCUGUCUCCUGCAGGGACGCACGAGCAGUGGGGUGACUCCCCUCAUCCCUGCACCCCAGGCGCAUCCUGGGCUCCUGGAGGAGGCGGCCAAGGCCUGGGGUCUCCAAACGGCCAAGCCUGCAGCCUGAAGGGACCCGGGACAGGACGGCUAAACGUCACGGGGUCCUCGGCUGACGCUGAGUGGGGCUCAGAGAAGCUGUGAUGGAGCCGUGAGCACAGGCCCCGUGAGGACGUCCAUGCCAUCCAGCCCAGUGCCCGCGAUCGACGGCUGUGACGUGGCUGCUAAGGGUCACCUGUGGACCACGCACGCACGCACGCAUUUCUAGAGCCGGAUUCAGUCUGCAGCCCACUCGCAAGUGCGCCUGCAACCACACAG